rfam:Aedes albopictus isolate Foshan contig149719, whole genome shotgun sequence.
UAGCCUAGUGGUUAAGGCUAUGGAUCGCCAAUCCGGAGACGGGCGGGUUCGAUUCCCGU